ensembl:lncRNA
GUAAUAAGUAGCAGUCAAGCCUGGAACCUUAAUCUGAUUCUGAAUCUGGAACACUUGAUUCCACAUUCAGUAAAGCAUUUUGUAAUCCUUAAAGCUCUAUGGGAUUGAGAGUCCUUUUUAUUGGCAUUAUUUUUCCCAUCAGAUCUUUUUGUAAAAACUAUUAAAUUUAAAAAGCUCAGCCUCCUGGCUUUGGUAAAUUGCUCUUCCUCCUGUCCGGCUUCAGAGAGGACUGCCCCCCCCUUCUCCCCUCCACGGAGUGACCCCUUUCUUCCUGUACUCCCCACCCUACAGGUGGGUUCCUCCCCGUUUUCUUUUCCCCCAAUUUUUACAAGUGGGUUCCUCCCCGUUUUCUUUUCCCCCAAUUCUACAGGUUGUUCUUCUCGUACUUGGUCUCCCCCCCCCCAACUCAAAAGUGAUUCCUCCCACCCCGUUCCCCUCUUUCACAUCCUUAGCGAAGCUUCCUGAUUAUCCCCAGCCGCCACGGCUCGGCCGCCCCUCUCCCCGCCAGCCAGGGGUUCACGCCCCGUGCUCCCCGACUCCCCUCGGUUCUGGGGAGGGGGCUCCACAGCACGGGAGGGGCGGGGCCGUUCCUCGAUGGCACGAGGGGAGGGGGAGGGGGCGGGGCCGCAAAGAGUCCGUUGGGCGCCGGCCGAAGGAGAGGUGCGGUGAGGGACCGCUCCGCAACUUUCCCUGCACGUUCAUGGUCUCCCUGGAUCCUGCCUGGCCGGCCGACAGGCAUGUCGGGAGAUGGGGAAGAGGAAGACGCCUUUGGUCCCAAGGAUGUCCUGCUCUAUUCCCCUGACGGCGGCCCCUUUGUGGAGGAGGCGGAGGGGGGCGGCUCUGGGAUGAGUUGGGCUUGGGAACCGAGCACAACCUCCUCUCAGUGGAGCCUGGAGCCCGAAGCCAACGGGAGCAAGCCCCUGGGGAUGGACUGUCAGGAGGACAGCGACCCGGUGGAGGAAGCCCUUCAAGAUUCACAGACGGUGGGCGAGGGUGCAGAUCCUGAGACCUGUAUCCUGGGCCCGGUUGGAGGGGCUCAGGAGGAGGGUGAGGACUCGCUGCUGUUUCCGGAUCUUCACAUCCAGCCUUCUCUUGCGCCCGUGGAGAGGAAAGCACAGUUCUUAGAGAAGCUUCACGUGGCUUUACACGACAUCUUAGCCGAAAACUGGGGGAAGAAGCUUGGCCAUGUGGCCCAGAGCAUCGGACUCACAGGAAAGGGGGAGAAGUCGGUGGAGGCGGCCCCUAAGCCCCGGAAGAUCCCUGGAGAUGAGCUGCCCGAGGAGAGAUCUCCAGAACCCGACCAAGGACUCCCCAUCAACCAUGUGGAGAGCCCCCCUGAGAUGAGAUGGCUCACCCCAGUGGCUUUUCCCGAGUGUCUCUCUGAGGUGUGUGAACAGGGCAUCUUCUCUCGCCUGGCCCUGGAGCAGGAGACCCCUGUGGACUGUACCCUGGACAAUUGUGAGGAGACAAAGGAAGGAGAACAGAUGAAAAGACAACAGCCCGACACUUCACCUUCUUCCCCUAGCUUGGCCCUGGUGAGGGCAAAUAAAAAAAGCAGGCUGUCGACCACCUCCAGAGAGGUGAGGAAGAGGAAAAACCUCCGGGAAGAAGAAUCCUGGAAGAGAAACGAAAGCGGCCGAGCAGGGGGGGCGGACCCCAAGACUCCAGCAAGCCCCUUUCCAAAGAGCAGUCAGGAGACUUGUGGACCAGUGGGAGACGUUGCUGGGACCUCCCCAACCGCUGAAAGAGAGCGUAAGCAAAUGGGAAAGACCCAGCCAUGGACCUGCUCGCAGAAAGCCUCUUCUCUGCAUGAUGCUCUCUUGCCCAACAGGGCUGAAAGUGGGGAGGCCCCUGGUCGCACUCCCAUCAAGGGUCAGAGAGGCACAGUGACUGCUAUGUUAGUUGUGGAGGCCCUGGGUCUUCCUGACGGGGCAGCCAUGUCCAGUGUAAUGUCAGCCUCUAAGACUUCCUGCAAAAGUCCGCACCCCUGCCCACCGGCUGUCCCCUUGGAUUCCCUGCCUUUGACGUCCUCCUCCAGAUUAUCAGAGGAAGUCUCUGGAGAAAAUCAAAAUCUUGGUUUUGCUAUGGUGCCCAAGGCCGUCACUGGCAAUGACGAUGCUUACCUUUCAGACAUUGUCAAGGAACUGGAGUCUGCUGCUGGCAAAGGUGUUGGGGUUGCCUCUGGUGCCAACAGGGGAGAGAUGCUGGGAUCUCCUGCUAGGCCCCAAGGGCUCUCCUCCACAAACAAGCCCUGUGGCCAGCCCGACCUGGAUUUCCCACUAGCCAACUCUUCUUCAAAGGGGCCUGUGGCUGGGGGAGCCAGUUUGGACCCUGAGAAGGCGUCUGAGUCAAGUAAGAGACCCUUGAAACAUCGUAGGAACAGGUCCAGAGCCGCAGAGAAGCCAAAGAGGGGAGUGCUGUCCUCUGCCCAGGAGUGGGGCAGGAACGGAGGAUCCAGAGCGGAUGAUGUGGGAGGUCAGGAACCAGGCCCAGUAAGCAAAAGCAGAGAGCCCGGCAACAGCAGCGCAUUUGAGAGCAGCUUCCACUUCUCCAGCAUCCCUGGGAAGUGACUCACCCAGGACCACCCAGCUGAGAAGUGCCCAAGCAGAGAUGGCCCUGAGGGCAGUGCGCUUCGCUGUGUCUCGCUGCAGUCACAGGAGGAUGCUGUCCCUCGAACUCCUGGCCACAUCGAUCCCUACGUGGCCCGAGGCAGGGCAGGGAUCUGGGCUUAAGGCGGCUUCAGGAGGCUUGUUCUUGGGAAAAGCCAGAC